rnacentral:miRNA from 1 species
UCAGUUUGUCAAAUACACCGGG